GGGUUGUGAGGUUAAGCGACUAAGCGUACACGGUGGAUGCCCUGGCAGUCAGAGGCGAUGAAGGACGUGCUAAUCUGCGAUAAGCGUCGGUGAGGUGAUAUGAACCGUUAUAACCGGCGAUUUCCGAAUGGGGAAACCCAGUGUGUUUCGACACACUAUCAUUAACUGAAUCCAUAGGUUAAUGAGGCGAACCGGGGGAACUGAAACAUCUAAGUACCCCGAGGAAAAGAAAUCAACCGAGAUUCCCCCAGUAGCGGCGAGCGAACGGGGAGGAGCCCAGAGCCUGAAUCAGUGUGUGUGUUAGUGGAAGCGUCUGGAAAGGCGUGCGAUACAGGGUGACAGCCCCGUACACAAAAAUGCACAUAUUGUGAGCUCGAUGAGUAGGGCGGGACACGUGGUAUCCUGUCUGAAUAUGGGGGGACCAUCCUCCAAGGCUAAAUACUCCUGACUGACCGAUAGUGAACCAGUACCGUGAGGGAAAGGCGAAAAGAACCCCGGCGAGGGGAGUGAAAAAGAACCUGAAACCGUGUACGUACAAGCAGUGGGAGCCUCUUAAUGGGGUGACUGCGUACCUUUUGUAUAAUGGGUCAGCGACUUAUAUUCUGUAGCAAGGUUAACCGAAUAGGGGAGCCGAAGGGAAACCGAGUCUUAACUGGGCGUUAAGUUGCAGGGUAUAGACCCGAAACCCGGUGAUCUAGCCAUGGGCAGGUUGAAGGUUGGGUAACACUAACUGGAGGACCGAACCGACUAAUGUUGAAAAAUUAGCGGAUGACUUGUGGCUGGGGGUGAAAGGCCAAUCAAACCGGGAGAUAGCUGGUUCUCCCCGAAAGCUAUUUAGGUAGCGCCUCGUGAAUUCAUCUCCGGGGGUAGAGCACUGUUUCGGCAAGGGGGUCAUCCCGACUUACCAACCCGAUGCAAACUGCGAAUACCGGAGAAUGUUAUCACGGGAGACACACGGCGGGUGCUAACGUCCGUCGUGAAGAGGGAAACAACCCAGACCGCCAGCUAAGGUCCCAAAGUCAUGGUUAAGUGGGAAACGAUGUGGGAAGGCCCAGACAGCCAGGAUGUUGGCUUAGAAGCAGCCAUCAUUUAAAGAAAGCGUAAUAGCUCACUGGUCGAGUCGGCCUGCGCGGAAGAUGUAACGGGGCUAAACCAUGCACCGAAGCUGCGGCAGCGACACUAUGUGUUGUUGGGUAGGGGAGCGUUCUGUAAGCCUGUGAAGGUGGCCUGUGAGGGUUGCUGGAGGUAUCAGAAGUGCGAAUGCUGACAUAAGUAACGAUAAAGCGGGUGAAAAGCCCGCUCGCCGGAAGACCAAGGGUUCCUGUCCAACGUUAAUCGGGGCAGGGUGAGUCGACCCCUAAGGCGAGGCCGAAAGGCGUAGUCGAUGGGAAACAGGUUAAUAUUCCUGUACUUGGUGUUACUGCGAAGGGGGGACGGAGAAGGCUAUGUUGGCCGGGCGACGGUUGUCCCGGUUUAAGCGUGUAGGCUGGUUUUCCAGGCAAAUCCGGAAAACCAAGGCUGAGGCGUGAUGACGAGGCACUACGGUGCUGAAGYGACAAAUGCCCUGCUUCCAGGAAAAGCCUCUAAGCAUCAGGUAACAUCAAAUCGUACCCMAAACCGACACAGGUGGUCAGGUAGAGAAUACCAAGGCGCUUGAGAGAACUCGGGUGAAGGAACUAGGCAAAAUGGUGCCGUAACUUCGGGAGAAGGCACGCUGAUAUGUAGGUGAAGCGACUYGCUCGUGGAGCUGAAAUCAGUCGAAGAUACCAGCUGGCUGCAACUGUUUAUUAAAAACACAGCACUGUGCAAACACGAAAGUGGACGUAUACGGUGUGACGCCUGCCCGGUGCCGGAAGGUUAAUUGAUGGGGUUAGCGGUAACGCGAAGCUCUUGAUCGAAGCCCCGGUAAACGGCGGCCGUAACUAUAACGGUCCUAAGGUAGCGAAAUUCCUUGUCGGGUAAGUUCCGACCUGCACGAAUGGCGUAAUGAUGGCCAGGCUGUCUCCACCCGAGACUCAGUGAAAUUGAACUCGCUGUGAAGAUGCAGUGUACCCGCGGCAAGACGGAAAGACCCCGUGAACCUUUACUAUAGCUUGACACUGAACAUUGAGCCUUGAUGUGUAGGAUAGGUGGGAGGCUUUGAAGUGUGGACGCCAGUCUGCAUGGAGCCGACCUUGAAAUACCACCCUUUAAUGUUUGAUGUUCUAACGUUGGCCCGUAAUCCGGGUUGCGGACAGUGUCUGGUGGGUAGUUUGACUGGGGCGGUCUCCUCCUAAAGAGUAACGGAGGAGCACGAAGGUUGGCUAAUCCUGGUCGGACAUCAGGAGGUUAGUGCAAUGGCAUAAGCCAGCUUGACUGCGAGCGUGACGGCGCGAGCAGGUGCGAAAGCAGGUCAUAGUGAUCCGGUGGUUCUGAAUGGAAGGGCCAUCGCUCAACGGAUAAAAGGUACUCCGGGGAUAACAGGCUGAUACCGCCCAAGAGUUCAUAUCGACGGCGGUGUUUGGCACCUCGAUGUCGGCUCAUCACAUCCUGGGGCUGAAGUAGGUCCCAAGGGUAUGGCUGUUCGCCAUUUAAAGUGGUACGCGAGCUGGGUUUAGAACGUCGUGAGACAGUUCGGUCCCUAUCUGCCGUGGGCGCUGGAGAACUGAGGGGGGCUGCUCCUAGUACGAGAGGACCGGAGUGGACGCAUCACUGGUGUUCGGGUUGUCAUGCCAAUGGCACUGCCCGGUAGCUAAAUGCGGAAGAGAUAAGUGCUGAAAGCAUCUAAGCACGAAACUUGCCCCGAGAUGAGUUCUCCCUGACUCCUUGAGRGUCCUGAAGGAACGUUGAAGACGACGACGUUGAUAGGCCGGGUGUGUAAGCGCAGCGAUGCGUUGAGCUAACCGGUACUAAUGAACCGUGAGGCUUAACCUUACAACGCCGAAG
rnacentral:rRNA from 1 species